GGUGGCUCAGUGGUAGAGCGCUUGCCUUGCUUGCAGGAGGCCCUAGGUUCAAUUCCUCAGCACCA
rnacentral:tRNA from 1 species